rnacentral:rRNA from 1 species
GACGAACGCUGGCGGCGUGCUUAACACACGCAAGUCGAACGGUGAAGCGCCUUCCUUUUUGGUGGGUGUGGAUGAGUGGCGAACGGGUGAGUAACACGUGAGUAACCUGCCCCCUUCUUCUGGAUAACCGCAUGAAAGUGUGGCUAAUACGGGAUAUUCUGGGUCUGUCGCAUGAUGGGUCUGGGAAAGAUAUUGUUUCGGUGGGGGAUGGGCUCGCGGCCUAUCAGCUUGUUGGUGGGGUGAUGGCCUACCAAGGCGGUGACGGGUAGCCGGCCUGAGAGGGUGGACGGUCACACUGGGACUGAGACACGGCCCAGACUCCUACGGGAGGCAGCAGUGGGGAAUAGUGCACAAUGGGCGCAAGCCUGAUGCAGCGACGCCGCGUGAGGGAUGGAGGCCUUCGGGUUGUGAACCUCUUUCGCCAGUGAAGCAGGCCUGCCUCGUUUGUGGGUGGGUUGACGGUAGCUGGAGAAGAAGCGCCGGCUAACUACGUG